GGAAGGUGCAAGCGUUAAUCGGAAUUACUGGGCGUAAAGCGCGCGUAGGCGGCUAGAUAAGUCGGGUGUGAAAGCCCUGGGCUCAACCUGGGAACUGCAUUCGAUACUGUCUAGCUAGAGUGUGAUAGAGGGAGGCGGAAUUCCGCAUGUAGCGGUGAAAUGCGUAGAGAUGCGGAGGAACACCAAUGGCGAAGGCAGCCUCCUGGAUCAACACUGACGCUGAGGCGCGAAAGCGUGGGGAGCAAACAGGAUUAGAUACCCUGGUAGUCCCACGCCCGUAAACGAUGUCAACUAGCCCGUUGGGAGCAUUUUGGCUCUUGGUGGCGCAGCUAACGCGAUAAGUUGACCGCCUGGGGAGUACGGUCGCAAGAUUA
rnacentral:rRNA from 1 species